AGAGUUUGAUCCUGGCUCAGAUUGAACGCUGGCGGCAUGCCUUACACAUGCAAGUCGAACGGCAGCACGGGGGCAACCCUGGUGGCGAGUGGCGAACGGGUGAGUAAUACAUCGGAACGUGUCCUGGAGUGGGGGAUAGCCCGGCGAAAGCCGGAUUAAUACCGCAUACGCUCUGAGGAGGAAAGCGGGGGACCUUCGGGCCUCGCGCUCAAGGGGCGGCCGAUGGCGGAUUAGCUAGUUGGUAGGGUAAAGGCCUACCAAGGCGACGAUCCGUAGCUGGUCUGAGAGGACGACCAGCCACACUGGGACUGAGACACGGCCCAGACUCCUACGGGAGGCAGCAGUGGGGAAUUUUGGACAAUGGGGGCAACCCUGAUCCAGCAAUGCCGCGUGUGUGAAGAAGGCCUUCGGGUUGUAAAGCACUUUUGUCCGGAAAGAAAUUCUGCCUGUUAAUACCGGGCGGGGAUGACGGUACCGGAAGAAUAAGCACCGGCUAACUACGUGCCAGCAGCCGCGGUAAUACGUAGGGUGCGAGCGUUAAUCGGAAUUACUGGGCGUAAAGCGUGCGCAGGCGGUUUGCUAAGACCGAUGUGAAAUCCCCGGGCUUAACCUGGGAACUGCAUUGGUGACUGGCAAGCUAGAGUAUGGCAGAGGGGGGUAGAAUUCCACGUAGCAGUGAAAUGCGUAGAGAUGUGGAGGAAUACCGAUGGCGAAGGCAGCCCCCUGGGCCAAUACUGACGCUCAUGCACGAAAGCGUGGGGAGCAAACAGGAUUAGAUACCCUAGUAGUCC
rnacentral:rRNA from 1 species